rnacentral:rRNA from 1 species
GACGAACGCUGGCGGCGUGCUUAACACAUGCAAGUCGAACGGAAAGGCCCUGCUUUUGUGGGGUGCUUGAGUGGCGAACGGGUGAGUAACACGUGAGUAACAUGCUCUUGACUUUGGGAUAACUUCAGGAAACUGGGGCUAAUACCGGAUAGGAGCUCCUGCUGCAUGGUGGGGGUUGGAAAGUUUCGGCGGUUGGGGAUGGACUCGCGGCUUAUCAGCUUGUUGGUGGGGUAGUGGCUUACCAAGGCUUUGACGGGUAGCCGGCCUGAGAGGGUGACCGGCCACAUUGGGACUGAGAUACGGCCCAGACUCCUACGGGAGGCAGCAGUGGGGAAUAUUGCACAAUGGGCGGAAGCCUGAUGCAGCAACGCCGCGUGCGGGAUGACGGCCUUCGUGUUGUAAACCGCUUUCGCCUGUGACGAAGCGUGAGUGACGGUAAUGGGUAAAGAAGCACCGGCUAACUACGUG